UCCGAGCUGGAACGGGACGCCUUAGAGGGUGAGAGCCCCGUACGGUUAGAUGCCGAGCCUCUGUAAAGCUCCGUCGACGAGUCGAUUAGUUUGGGAAUGCUGCUCUAAAUGGGAGGUAAAUUUCUUCUAAAGCUAAAUAUGGCCAGAGACCGAUAGCGCACAAGUAGAGUGAUCGAAAGAUGAAAAGUACUUUGAAAAGAGGGUUAAACAGCACGYGAAAUUGUGAAAGSGAAGCGUUUAUGACCAGACUUUUUCUAGGCGGAUCAUCCGGUGUUCUCACCGGUGCACUUUGCCUAGUCUAGGCCAGCAUCGGUUUCCGUAGGGGGAUAAAAUUAGUGGGAAUGUGGCUCCCUCGGGAGUGUUAUAACUGCUAAAUAAUACCUUUAUGGGGACCGAGGUUCGCGCUCUGCAAGGAUGCUGGCGUAAUGGUCAUCAACGACCCGUCUUGAAACACGGACCAAGGAGUCGAACAUUUGUGCGAGUGUUUGGGUGUUAAACCCUCACGCGUAA
rnacentral:rRNA from 1 species